rnacentral:snRNA from 1 species
AUCCAAGUGCACGGGCUUUACGCGUAUCAGUGAGGAUUCGUCCGAGAUCGUGUUUUUGCUAGUUGAAAACUAUCAACUGACUGCUCUUGAGGGUCGCAAGAUCGUCAAGGAAUUUUUGGAACCAAACACAACAUUUAUUUG